UUGUUUGGAAUGUGGAGCUAGAAGCCUUAGCAUAGCCUUAGCAUUCUGAACCUAAACUGAGAUCAGACUUCAGAAAUCAUCCUAGUUUGGGAGUCCGUGGGGGUAGCCUAGGAUACUUUUGUUUGUUUUCUCUUUCCAUUGGCCAAAGACAACCUAUGGCUAUGAAAAUCUGCCUGGAAACCGGGUAGCAGGUGUGUUGGCUUGAACCAUUUGUAGGAACAAGGCUAGUCUGCCCAGCUAACAAAAGAAAGCCUCUCUUUGCACGGACGCUUUGCUCAGUCUUUAGAACACUCAAUUUUGCAUAAAGUGGCUGAUGUCAGAGCAGCCAAAGCAGGAGUGAAAUGAACGUGGCAUCAUGAGCACUAAAGGAUGGACAUAACAGAGGUGUCACAGAGCUUCUCUGAAGAUAACAGAAAGCACAGUGCAGUGUGCUAAUCCACCUAAAAUCAGGGGUGCUGGAAGCCAAGGGCCAUGGUGAUAAUAGAAUAAAGUGACACGUAUCUCAAGUCAUAAAGUGAUCUGAAAAACAGAACCUAAGAUGCAGCCACACGGCCCCCUAGUGACCGGCAUGGGAACUGCAGCUGCCCACAGCUGGGAGAAGGCUGACCGCUCUGGCGUCUGCGUAGGCCUGGAAGGAGGAGGAGGAGGCCCUUUGCCAGGCUCUGUCCUCGUGCGAGCAUCUCUCACGCAGAGCCGCAAGCGCUCACAUUACCUACGGGCUCACGGAGCAGAUAAGGUGAAAUUACAUGAACUGGAAUGCACUGACUUUUAAAUAAUCACUGUUGCUUUUGUUAGUCAAGCCCUUGGAAGAGGCCACGGAGGAGUCUUGUUGGGCGCAGAUCUAUCAUAAACCAGAGGAGUUCACAUAGGCAAAACGUGGGAAAUCAACGGUCCGAUCCCUUCGCUCCAAGAAUGAGGCAACUAGCGGGAGGGCGGUGUGCAUCCGCAACCCCGGCGCUCUGGGGGACUGAGGCGGGAACGCCGCAGAUCUGAGCCUAGGCUGCGUGUUUUGUGUAUGUGUAUUUCCAGUUUGUCUUGCUCUGUUUUAUGGGACGUGGACAGAUUGAAGGGGGACUAUUGCGGGAGGCGUAGGGAGGGCCAGGGCCGCUCGUGGAGAUGAGAGUGCGCUGCUUGGGGGUCUGGAGAGAGACAUCGGGGAGCUCCAGGAGAGGCCCGCGCCCUCAGGUGAUCGGUCGGGGUGUCCAAGAGGGUCUGAAGCUGUGGUCGGAGGGCGGGGCGGCGAUGCCGGGGUGUCAAGAACAGCCUUUCCAGCCGGGCGUGGUGGCACACCCCUGUAAUCCCA